rnacentral:rRNA from 1 species
GUGUCAGCCGCCGCGGUAAUACAGAGGGUGCGAGCGUUAAUCGGAUUUACUGGGCGUAAAGCGUGCGUAGGCGGCCAAUUAAGUCAAAUGUGAAAUCCCCGAGCUUAACUUGGGAAUUGCAUUCGAUACUGGUUGGCUAGAGUAUGGGAGAGGAUGGUAGAAUUCCAGGUGUAGCGGUGAAAUGCGUAGAGAUCUGGAGGAAUACCGAUGGCGAAGGCAGCCAUCUGGCCUAAUACUGACGCUGAGGUACGAAAGCAUGGGGAGCAAACAGGAUUAGAAACCCCCGUAGUCC